rnacentral:rRNA from 1 species
GACGAACGCUGGCGGCGUGCUUAACACAUGCAAGUCGAACGAUGAACCCGGAGCUUGCUCCGGUGGAUUAGUGGCGAACGGGUGAGUAACACGUGAGUAACCUGCCCUUGACUCUGGGAUAACUGCGGGAAACUGUAGCUAAUACCGGAUACGACCCUCGGCGGCAUCGCCAGGGGGUGGAAAGAAUUUCGGUCAAGGAUGGACUCGCGGCCUAUCAGCCAGUUGGUUAGGUAGCGGCUCACCAAGGCGACGACGGGGAGCCGGCCUGAGAGGGUGACCGGCCACACUGAGACUGAGACACGGCCCAGAGUGCUACGGGAGGCAGCAGUGGGGAAUAUUGCACACGGUGCGCACGCCUGAUGCAGCAACGCCGCGUGAGGGAUGACGGCCUUCGGGUUGUAAACCUCUUUUAGUAGGGAAGAAGCGAAAGUGACGGUACCUGCAGAAAAAGCACCGGCUAACUACGUGCCAGCCGCCGCCGUAA